rnacentral:rRNA from 2 species
CAAUGGGCGCAAGCCUGAUGGAGCAACACCGCGUGAGUGAAGAAGGGUUUCGGCUCGUAAAGCUCUGUUGUUAAAGAAGAACACGUAUGAGAGUAACUGUUCAUGCGUUGACGGUAUUUAACCAGAAAGUCACGGCUAACUACGUGCCAGCAGCCGCGGUAAUACGUAGGUGGCAAGCGUUAUCCGGAUUUAUUGGGCGUAAAGAGAGUGCAGGCGGUUUUCUAAGUCUGAUGUGAAAGCCUUCGGCUUAACCGGAGAAGUGCAUAGGAAACUGGAUAACUUGAGUGCAGAAGAGGGUAGUGGAACUCCAUGUGUAGCGGUGGAAUGCGUAGAUAUAUGGAAGAACACCAGUGGCGAAGGCGGCUACCUUGUCUGCAACUGACGCUGAGACUCGAAAGCAUGGGUAGCGAACAGGAUUAGAUACCCUGGUAGUCCAUGCCGUAAACGAUGAGUGCUAGGUGUUGGAGGGUUUCCGCCCUUCAGUGCCGGAGCUAACGCAUUAAGCACUCCGCCUGGGGAGUACGACCGCAAGGUUGAAACUCAAAGGAAUUGACGGGGGCCCGCACAAGCGGUGGAGCAUGUGGUUUAAUUCGAAGCUACGCGAGAACCU